rnacentral:rRNA from 1 species
GGGUUCCACCUCUUCCCAUUCCGAACAGAGAAGUUAAGCCUGAUCACGCCGAUGGUACUGCGUAACAGUGGGAGAGUAGGUAGUCGCCGUUU